rnacentral:rRNA from 1 species
UACGUAGGGUGCAAGCGUUAAUCGGAAUUACUGGGCGUAAAGCGUGCGCAGGCGGUGAUGUAAGACAGAUGUGAAAUCCCCGGGCUCAACCUGGGAACUGCAUUUGUGACUGCAUCGCUGGAGUGCGGCAGAGGGGGAUGGAAUUCCGCGUGUAGCAGUGAAAUGCGUAGAUAUGCGGAGGAACACCGAUGGCGAAGGCAAUCCCCGUGGGCCUGCACUGACGCUCAUGCACGAAAGCGUGGGGAGCGAACAGG